CCUACGGGAGGCAGCAGUGGGGAAUAUUGCGCACUGGGCGAAAGCCUGACGCAGCGACGCCGCGUGAGGGAUGAAGGUCUUCGGAUCGUAAACCUCUGUCAGUAGGGAAGAACGGUCACUGUGCUAAUCAGCAGUGAAUUGACGGUACCUGCAAAGGAAGCACCGGCUAACUCCGUGCCAGCAGACGCGGUAAUACGGAGGGUGCGAGCGUUAAUCGGAAUUACUGGGCGUAAAGCGCUCGUAGGCGGUAUGUCAAGUCAAGGGUGAAAUCCCCGCGCGCAACGUGGGAACUGCCUUUGAAACGGGCAAACUGGAGUGUGUGAGAGGAUAGUGGAAUUCCAGGGGUAGGAGUGAAAGCCGUAGAUAUCUGGAGGAACAUCAGUGGCGAAGGCGACUAUCUGGCACAUAACUGACGCUGAGGAGCGAAAGCGUGGGUAGCAAACAGGAUUAGAUACCCGAGUAGUC
rnacentral:rRNA from 1 species